rnacentral:rRNA from 1 species
GUAGGUGGCAAGCGUUGUCCGGAAUUAUUGGGCGUAAAGCGCGCGCAGGCGGUUCUUUAAGUCUGAUGUGAAAGCCCACGGGCUCAACCGUGGAGGGUCAUUGGAAACUGGAGAACUGAGUACAGAAGAGGAAAGCGGAAUUCCACGUGUAGCGGUGAAAUGCGUAGAGAUGUGGAGGAACACCAGUGGCGAAGGCGGCUUUCUGGUCUGUAACUGACGCUGAGGCGCGAAAGCGUGGGGAGCAAACAGGAUUAGAUACCCUGGUAGUCCACGCCGUAAACGAUGAGUGCUAAGUGUUAGGGGGUUUCCGCCCCUUAGUGCUGCAGCUAACGCAUUAAGCACUCCGCCUGGGGAGUACGGCCGCAAAGGCUG